UACGUAGGGGGCAAGCGUUGUCCGGAUUUAUUGGGCGUAAAGAGCGUGUAGGCGGCCAUGUAGGUCCGGUGUGAAAACUCGAGGCUUAACCUCGAGAUGUCAUCGGAAACCAUUUGGCUAGAGUCCGGAAGAGGAGAGUGGAAUUCCUGGUGUAGCGGUGAAAUGCGCAGAUAUCAGGAAGAACACCCGUGGCGAAGGCGGCUCUCUGGAACGCAACUGACGCUGAGACGCGAAAGCGUGGGGGAGCAAACAGG
rnacentral:rRNA from 1 species